AACAUACUCCCUCCGUCCCAAAAUUCUUGUCUUAGAUUUGUCUAAAUAUGGAUGUAUCAAGUCACGUUUUAGUAUUAGGUACAUCCGUAUCUAGACAAAUCUAAGACAAGAAUUUUGGGGCGGAGGGAGUACCAC
rnacentral:pre_miRNA from 1 species